AAGUCGAAAAUGCGGGUUGUUCAUCACAUCAACAGUUAUGGACCACUCUUUACCAUAUAAGUGACUAUGGGAGCUUCGACUGUAUGAGCGAUAUGAUUUACAGAGCUGUUGAACGGUACCCGGACGCUGGCAGCGACCCAUGCUUUUGCGAAGAUCGGACGACCACUGCCGCUACAUCAACCACUUACGCCACAACCACCGUCAGUAACACUGGAGUACCACAAGCAUGCUCAGACCUCGAUGCCAUUGCAUGUCAAACAGACACUAGUCGGU